GGACCCGCACAAGCGGUGGAGCAUGUGGUUUAAUUCGAUGCAACGCGAAAAACCUUACCUACUCUUGACAUACUUGGAAGCUCUUGUAAUGAGAGUGUGCCUUUUGGAGCCAAGAUACAGGUGCUGCAUGGCUGUCGUCAGCUCGUGUCGUGAGAUGUUCCGUUAAGUCGGAUAACGAGCGCAACCCUUACCCUUAUUUGCCAGCGAUUCGGUCGGGAACUAUAAGGGGACUGCCGGUGAUAAACCGGAGGAAGGUGAGGACGACGUCAAGUCAUCAUGGCCCUUACGAGUAGGGCUACACACGUGCUACAAUGGGGAAUACAGACGGACGCUAAGCCGCGAGGUGGUGCUAA
rnacentral:rRNA from 1 species